rnacentral:rRNA from 1 species
AGCAGCCGCGGUAAUUCCAGCUCCAAUAGCGUAUAUUAAAGUUGUUGCAGUUAAAAGGCCCGUAGUUGAAUUUCGGGAUCAAUUUGCUGGUCGUGCCUCUGGUACGUACUGGUAUUAUUGGUUUCUCCCUUCUGACGAACCAUGAUGUCAUUAAUUUGAUGUCGUGGAGAAUCAGGACUGUUACUUUGAAAAAUUAGAGUGUUUAAAGCAGGCAUUAGCUUGAAUACAUUAGCAUGGAAUAAUGAAAUAGGACGUUUGAUCCUAUUUUGUUGGUUUCUAGGAUUGACGUAAUGAUUAAUAGGGAUAGUUGGGGGCAUUAGUAUUCAAUUGCCAGAGGUGAAAUUCUUGGAUUUAUUGAAGACUAACUACUGCGAAAGCAUUUGCCAAGGAUGUUUUCAUUAAUCAAGAACGAAAGUUAGGGGAUCGAAGACGAUCAGAUACCGUCGUAGUCUUAACCAUAAACGAUGCCGACCAGGGAUCGGAAGCU